rnacentral:rRNA from 1 species
AAACCAGCACCUCAAGUGGUCAGGAUGAUUAUUGGGCCUAAAGCAUCCGUAGCCUGCUCUGUAAGUUUUCGGUUAAAUCUGUACGCUUAACGUACAGGCCGCCGGGAAUACUGCAGAGCUAGGGAGUGGGAGAGGUAGACGGUACUCGGGAGGAAGUGGUAAAAUGCUUUGAUCUCUCGAUGACCACCUGUGGCGAAGGCGGUCUACCAGAACACGUCCGACGGUGAGGGAUGAAAGCUGGGGGAGCAAACCGGAUUAGAAACCCCGGUAGUCC